GGGUUGUGAGGUUAAGCGACUAAGCGUACACGGUGGAUGCCCUGGCAGUCAGAGGCGAUGAAGGGCGUGCUAAUCUGCGAUAAGCGCCGGUAAGGUGAUAUGAACCGUUAUAACCGGCGAUACCCGAAUGGGGAAACCCAGUGUGACUCGUCACACUAUCAUUAACUGAAUCCAUAGGUUAAUGAGGCGAACCGGGGGAACUGAAACAUCUAAGUACCCCGAGGAAA
rnacentral:rRNA from 2 species